rnacentral:rRNA from 1 species
AUUGAACGCUGGCGGCAUGCCUUACACAUGCAAGUCGAACGGCAGCACGGGAGCAAUCCUGGUGGCGAGUGGCGAACGGGUGAGUAAUAUAUCGAAACGUGCCCAGUAGUGGGGAUAACUGCUCGAAAGAGCAGCUAAUACCGCAUACGACCUGAGGGUGAAAGGGGGGGGAUCGCAAGACCUCUCGCUAUUGGAGCGGCCGAUAUCAGAUUAGCUAGUUGGUGAGGUAAUGGCUCACCAAGGCGACGAUCCCUAGCUGGUCUGAGAGGAUGAUCAGCCACACUGGAACUGAGACACGGCCCAGACUCCUACGGGAGGCAGCAGUGGGGAAUCUUGCGCAAUGGGCGAAAGCCUGACGCAGCCAUGCCGCGUGAAUGAUGAAGGUCUUAGGAUUGUAAAUUCUUUCUACCGGGGACGAUAAUGACGGUA